rnacentral:misc_RNA from 1 species
GAAAUGCGAUACGUAGUGUGAAUUGCAGAAUUCAGUGAAUCAUCGAAUCUUUGAACGCACAUUGCGCCCCUUGGUAUUCCAUGGGGCAUGCCUGUUCGAGCGUCAUUUGUACCCUCAAGCUCUGCUUGGUGUUGGGUGUUUGUCCCGUCUCCGCGCGUGGACUCGCCCCAAAGUGAUUGGCAGCCGGCGUACUGGUCCCGGAGCGCAGCACAUGUCGCGCAAACGAGUGCCUUGGUACGGCGGCGUCCAUAAGCCCCUCUCUCACGCUCUUGACCUCGGAUCAGGUAGGGAUACCCGCUGAACUUAAGC